rnacentral:rRNA from 1 species
CCUACGGGGGGCUGCAGUGGGGAAUUUUGGACAAUGGGCGCAAGCCUGAUCCAGCCAUGCCGCGUGAGUGAAGAAGGCCUUCGGGUUGUAAAGCUCUUUCGGUGGGGAAGAAAUCGCAUCUCCUAAUAUGGGGUGUGGAUGACGGUACCCGCAUAAGAAGCACCGGCUAACUACGUGCCAGCAGCCGCGGUAAUACGUAGGGUGCGAGCGUUAAUCGGAAUUACGCGGCGGAUAGCGUGCGUAAGAUGUUAAAUCCCCGGGCUCAACCUGGGAACUGCAUUUGAGACUGUACGGCUAGAGUGUGGCAGAGGGGGGUAGAAUUCCACGUGUAGCAGUGAAAUGCGUAGAGAUGUGGAGGAAUACCGAUGGCGAAGGCAGCCCCCUGGGCCAAUACUGACGCUCAUGCACGAAAGCGUGGGGAGCAAACAGGAUUAGAUACCCCAGUAGUC